AGCAUUAUACCGCGAAACUGCGAAUGGCUCAUUAUAUAAGUUAUCGUUUAUUUGAUAGUACCUUACUACUUGGAUAACCGUGGUAAUUCUAGAGCUAAUACAUGCUAAAAAUCCCGACUUCGGAAGGGAUGUAUUUAUUAGAUUAAAAACCAAUGCCCUUCGGGGCUCACUGGUGAUUCAUGAUAACUCCUCGAAUCGCAUGGCCUUGUGCCGGCGAUGGUUCAUUCAAAUUUCUUCCCUAUCAACUUUCGAUGUUUGGGUAUUGGCCAAACAUGGUUGCAACGGGUAACGGAGGGUUAGGGCUCGACCCCGGAGAAGGAGCCUGAGAAACGGCUACUACAUCCAAGGAAGGCAGCAGGCGCGCAAAUUACCCAAUCCCGACACGGGGAGGUAGUGACAAUAAAUACUGAUACAGGGCUCUUUUGGGUCUUGUAAUUGGAAUGAGUACAAUUUAAAUCCCUUAACGAGGAACAAUUGGAGGGCAAGUCUGGUGCCAGCAGCCGCGGUAAUUCCAGCUCCAAUAGCGUAUAUUAAAGUUGUUGUGGUUAAAAAGCUCGUAGUUGAACCUUGGGCCUGGCUGGCCGGUCCGCCUCACCGCGUGUACUGGUCCGGCCGGGCCUUUCCCUCUGUGGAACCCCAUGCCCUUCACUGGGUGUGGCGGGGAAACAGGACUUUUACUGUGAAAAAAUUAGAGUGCUCCAGGCAGGCCUAUGCUCGAAUACAUUAGCAUGGAAUAAUAGAAUAGGACGUGUGGUUCUAUUUUGUUGGUUUCUAGGACCGCCGUAAUGAUUAAUAGGGACAGUCGGGGGCAUCAGUAUUCAAUUGUCAGAGGUGAAAUUCUUGGAUUUAUUGAAGACUAACUACUGCGAAAGCAUUUGCCAAGGAUGUUUUCAUUAAUCAGGAACGAAAGUUAGGGGAUCGAAGACGAUCAGAUACCGUCGUAGUCUUAACCAUAAACUAUGCCGACUAGGGAUCGGACGGUGUUAUUUUUUGACCCGUUCGGCACCUUACGAGAAAUCAAAGUGC
rnacentral:rRNA from 1 species